AUGCAUUAUAGGCUCUAUUGAAAAUAAUAAGGAUGAUGUAAAUACACCAGAAUUUAAAAUUAAACACCUAGUCAUAGUUUUAACUAAAUUAAAAUUGCCAGUACAAACCACUUUGGAUAUACCCAAACGUAGGAGGGAAGAAAAUGAUCUUGAUACACUCAUUUAUAUACCCAAAGACCAUAUAAAAUCACUACCUAGUACAAAUUUAGAUAUAUCAAGUAUUACAUUUAAUAAAAAUGAUGAUAGUCAACAAAAUGAACACACCAAAUCACUA